rnacentral:lncRNA from 1 species
AUGUGAACAAUAAUAAGAGUGCUCGUGCAUUGGACUAAGCUGAAUCUGCAGGCAAACACAAAGGAGAAGACAAAGUAAUAUGGCUCUUUGAAAGCUAAAUAGGUAUGCAUGCAAGAACCACUAAACAUUGUAACCAAUAUCUUCUACCUUGACCCAAAGAAAAAGAAAACUAUUUACAAGGGAAAGCUCCCAACAAGCAAAAGAAGAAAGAAAAAUCUUUUUUGGUUUUCUCAAAAGGACACAAAACAAGAAAACGAAAAUAAACUAGCAUGGAUAAUACAGUGGCAAAGUGUAAACACCGACUAACAAAGUGAAAGCAUAAGCAUGAAUGUAAAGUCGGUGAG